ACUACGUCAUUGCGGAUCUCGUGGUUUCGAGAAGGGGGGUGCCAGCACAUAAUGAGUACUUGGUAAAAUGGAAAGACCUCCCCGAGAGCGAAUCCACAUGGGAAUGAGAAAAAGACCUGUGGCAAUUCGCUGAGCACAUAAGAGCGAAUCCACAUGGGAACAAGAAAAAGAUCCGUGGCAAUUCGCUGAGCACAUCCGGAAUUUCAAGCAUCAGAGCGCGACGAGGACGUCGCGAGCUUAGGUGGGGGAGGAUGUUGCGGACCGCCCAAGUUGAUAGCCCAAUCAUCCACAAUCUUGGGCUAGAGAUUCAACACAAGGCCAAGAGUCCAAGCUUGGCCCAAUUCCGGAACAUUCUAGACAACUCUAGCACAUUGGAGCUUGUAAAUAUUCUAGAACUCUCUAGAACUCUCCAGAACUCUCUAGAACUCUGUAGAGCUCUCUAGAGCUCUCUAGAACUCUCUAGACCUCUAUUGAACAUUCUAGAAUUCUCCAUUGAAUUCUAGCACAUGUAUC
rnacentral:lncRNA from 1 species